AGGCGAGAAGCCAACACAAACAGGAUGCCGCUACCUGGGACGGGGCUGCUGCCCUAUCUGAUCUGGCAUUCCUGCCGCAAGGAGUGGCCUGCGUGCAAUUUUGUUCCUACUGCUGUUCAGGGGCACAGGAACUUGGGUAUGUUUUGUAAACAGAGUAGAAAAUAGCCAGCCUCUGCAGCCCCGAUUUCUCACCCAAACCACCCAGCAAGGCCCUGACUGCUUGGCCAAAGGAGCAACAACAGCGAUCAUGCAGCUCCCACCAGCCUGCUCUGUGGCCGGAGAAGGGGAGCUGCUCACACUCACGGGGCUAAGGGCCAUCUGCGGGGGGGAGUGUUCUACAACAGAGGAGCAGAAAUAAUUCUGUCACCUAGCAGUAUUGCCCAGAGGCCUAGAUUGGCAUCAGAUCCGCAUUGUGCUAGGAGCUGUUCAAACACAUACGCAGAUGAGGCCCUGCAGAAAGAUGCCAAUAUAAGCAGAAUUAUUGCCCAGAGGCCUAGAUUGGCAUCAGAUCCGCAUUGUGCUAGGAGCUGUUCAAACACAUACGCAGAUGAGGCCCUGCAGAAAGAUGCCAAUAUAAGCAGAAUGUAAGCAUUGACUUGUUCUA